GAAGUGAAACAUCUCAGUAAGCGGAGGAAAAGAAAAAAACGCUACGGCGCAAGCCGAAGCAAUAUUCCCUUAGUAGUGGCGAGCGAAAAGGGAAUAGCCCAAACCUCAUUAUUUAUAAUGAGGGGUUGUAAGAGCACAGCUUCCCGCCCUCUAAGCCCGUGGAAUAUGUAUUUACUUAAUUUAAGGAAUAAAUCUUAAAAAAAAUAAUUGCAGAAUUCAACGAGCAUAGAGGGCGGGAGGGAGAGCAUUUAGGCAAGUUGGUUAGAAGAAAUUUCCUGGAAAGGAAUACCAUAGAGGGUAAUAGUCCCGUAUUUUAAAAUCAGUUUGCGCUCCUUGCUGUUUUUCUUGAGUACCGCAGAACACGAAAAUUUUGCGGGAAUCCGGCCGGACUAAUCGGCCAAGGCUAAAUACUACGAUAUCCCCGAUAGUGAACUAGUACCGUGAGGGAAAGGUGAAAAGUAGGGAGGUGAUCCCGAUGAAAUAGAACCUGAAACCAUUUGCUUACAAGGAGUCAUAGCCCCGCCCUCUAAGCGCGUGGAAUAUGUAUUUACUUAAUUUAAGGAAUAAAUCUUAAAAAAAGCAAUUACAGAAUUCGACGAGCAUAGAGGGCGGGGUGGUGGCGUGCCUAUUGAAGAAUGAGCCAACGAGUUCUGACAUUCAGCUAGUCUAAGCCCUUAUGGGGCAGAGGCAUAGCGAAAGCAAGCGUUAAUAGCGCGUAGCCAAUUUAUUUGGCGGGCUGUGUGUCAGAGACCCGAAGCCAAAGCGAGCUUGCCAUGGCCAGGGUGAAUCCCGAUGAAAAUCGGGAGGAGGCCCGAACCCGUGAGUCGUUCAAUGCUCUGGGAUGAGCUGUGGUAAGAAGUGAAAAGCUAAUCGAGCUUGGUAAUAGCUGGUUCUCUCCGAAAUAUCCUAUGGAAUAGCGUUUCGCGUUUUUGCGGAGGUAGAGCACUAGAUGGAUUUUCGUGGUCUUUGACCAGAUAAUCCAACUAAACUCCGAAUGCCGCAAUAUCAAUCUCGUUAGAGAUUUAUCUUUAACGGGGUGAAGACGCGGGGCAGUAAGACUGUGGGGGCUAAGCUCCAUGGUCGAGAGGGGAAGAGCCCAGAUCUUCAUCUAAGGUCCCUAAACCUGGACUAAGUGUAUCUUAAGGAAGUGAAACCCCAUUGAUAGUUAGGAGGUUAGCUCAGAAGCAGCUAUCCUUUAAAAAGUGCGUAAUAGCUUACUAACUAAGGGAUUUCGCGCCGGAGAUUUACGGGACUAAAGUCCAGUACCGAAGAUAAGAUCCCGCCCUCUAUGCUUUGUGUUCUAUGGCAAAAUAAAAAUCAAAUUAGUUAUUCUUUAAAAUUAGUUUAGUUUUAGAACAUAAAGUUUAGAGGGCGGGAGGUAGGAGAGCAUUUUUAGCGCAGAGAAGCUCCGCUGUGAAGCGGUGUGGAGCGCUAAGAAGAGAGAAUGUUGGCAUGAGUAACCACAAUUCCGCUGAAAACGCGGAACACCGAAAACCCGAGGUUUCCUUGGCAAUGACAAUCAGCCAAGGGUUAGGCGGACCUAACCCGAUCCCGAAAGGGCGUAGGGGAUGGACAGCCGGUUAAUAUUCCGGCCCUUUCUCGUUGAUUUUUUAAGAGCGACGCAAUCAAAAUUUCUAAGAAGAUUAUUGGAUUUCUACCCAGCCCUCUAAGCGCGUGGAAUUAGUAUUAUUUUAGUUCAAGAUUAAAAAUUUUGAGAUAAAUAUUUACAAAUUCGACGAGCAUAGAGGGCUGGGGCCUUAGCGACAAGGUUGCCUGGAAAAACUCUUAAAGAGCUAAAUCAGCGGGAAAACCGUACCGUAAACCGACACAGGUGGGUUGGCGUAAAUGCGCCAAGGUGAACGGGCGAAAGCUCCUGAAGGAACUCGGCAAAAAAGUAGGCGUAACUUCGGAAUAUGCCUUGCCGCUCCUCACUUUUGUUCGGAGCUACGUUGGAUUAACGCAGAACUAUACGCCGAACACCGCUGAAAUUUUCAGCGCGGUUUAGCGUAAUAUUCGGCGUCAUUUUAGCGUAAUAGCGACGAGCGGAAGCGAGGAGCGGUCGCAGCGAAAGUACCCCUGGCGACUGUUUAUCAAAAACACAGGUCCCUGCUAACUCGCAAGAGGAUGUAUAGGGGCUGAAGCCUGACCAGUGCUGGAAUGUUAAUCCCGUCGGUUAUCCGCUUCGUGCGGAUAGCUAAAUGGGUGAAGCACCAGUGAACGUCGGCAGUAACUAUAACUGUCUAAAAGUAGCGUAAUCCCUUGCCAGGUAAGUUCUGGCCCGCAUGAAAGGCUUAACGACUUGGGGACUGUCUCCAGGAGCAACCCGGUGAAAAUACAAUAAGCGUGAAGACGCGCUUUACCUGCGGCUAGACGGAAAGACCCCGGGAGCUUUACUGUAUCCAGAUAUUGAGUUUUGGAAUUGGAUGCGUAGCGUAGGUGGGAGGCUUUGAGUUCCGCUUUUCGGAGCGGAAGGAGCCGUCAAUGAAACACCACUCUUCCAAGUCCUUAAUCCUAAUUUUGCUCCUCACUUGCGUUCGGAGUUUACACAAAAAAAUACAGAACGGAACACAAAACUAUACAGAAAAAUAUCUGUGUUAAUCUGUGUAAUAGCGACGAGCGGAAGCGAGGAGCGGUCGCAGCGAAAGUACCCCUGGCGACUGUUUAUCAAAAACACAGGUCCCUGCUAACUCGCAAGAGGAUGUAUAGGGGCUGAAGCCUGACCAGUGCUGGAAUGUUAAUCCCGUCGGUUAUCCGCUUCGUGCGGAUAGCUAAAUGGGUGAAGCACCAGUGAACGUCGGCAGUAACUAUAACUGUCUAAAAGUAGCGUAAUCCCUUGCCAGGUAAGUUCUGGCCCGCAUGAAAGGCUUAACGACUUGGGGACUGUCUCCAGGAGCAACCCGGUGAAAAUACAAUAAGCGUGAAGACGCGCUUUACCUGCGGCUAGACGGAAAGACCCCGGGAGCUUUACUGUAUCCAGAUAUUGAGUUUUGGAAUUGGAUGCGUAGCGUAGGUGGGAGGCUUUGAGUUCCGCUUUUCGGAGCGGAAGGAGCCGUCAAUGAAACACCACUCUUCCAAGUCCUUAAUCCUAAUUUUGCUCCUCACUUGCGUUCGGAGUUUACACAAAAAAAUACAGAACGGAACACAAAACUAUACAGAAAAAUAUCUGUGUUAAUCUGUGUCAUAGCGACGAGCGGAAGCGAGGAGCGAAAAACAGUGUCUGGUGGUCAGUUUAAGUGGGGCACUUUUCUCCUAAAGAGUAAUGGAGAAGUUCAAAGGUCGGCUAACUCCGGAUGGAAAUCGGAGUGGUCGCGUAAAGGCAAAAGCCGGCUUUACUGCGAGACGGAUAUGUCGAGCAGUUGGGAAACCAGGACUUAGUGAACCGACGGAUUGUAAUAGAAAAUCCGAAGAUUAUCAGCCAAAAGUUACCCCGGGGAUAGUCCCGCGCCUGAAUUUGGUGACGGGAUGUUGUCCAACCCAUUCGUAAGAGUGGGAGUGCUCCAAAAAAAUAAAAAUUUUUUGGAGAGUACGGCUUAUAACGGUGAACUAUAAGCAGGUCUUCCUAAUAAAUUUAGGUUUUAAGCUUUUAGAAUACCGUGGGAAGUCGGAAGGAAAUAUGAUUUUUUAUAUUUUCCUUCUUGACCCCGUAACGACUUGUCCUAUUUUUUUUAAUUUAGAAAUAAAAAAGAGGGACUUAGCAAAGGUUUAAACUUUGCUAACACGCCGUCGCCUGCAUAUAAAAAUUUAUAUGCAGGAUGAAGAUAUAGUCUAUGCUUAAAUAGCAUGAACAGGCUAGUAGAGCCCGCGAGUCCAUAUCAACGGCUCUGUUCGGCACCUCGAUGUCGGCUCAACGCAUCCUGGGGGUGAAGCCGCUCCCAAGGGUUUGGCUGUUCGCCAAUUAAAGCGUUACGCGAGCUGGGUUCAAACCGUCGUGAGACAGGUUGGUCCUUAUCUACCGCAGGCGUUGAAUCUUGAGGGGAGUUGAUCCUAGUACGAGAGGACCGGAUUGAACUGACCUCUGGUGUGCCAGCUGUUCCGCCAGGAGCAUUGCUGGGUAGCUAUGUCAGGAAGGGAUAAGCGCUGAAAGCAUCUAAGCGCGAAGCCUACCCCAAGAUUAGGAUUCAUAGAUUUCCCGCAGAUUACGGGAUUGAUAGACUGCAGGCGCAAGCCCAGUAAUGGGUUCAACCGAGCAGCACUAAUAAAUCAUCA
rnacentral:rRNA from 1 species